AGCUGGUGCACGCUGUUUGCUUGAGAGCUUGCUGCGUUUGCUGCGUUCUUUGUAUGCUUCGCUGUGACUUCUUUGGAAUAUUCCUGCAUAUUGCUCGCAUUUUAUGGGCUUGUUGCCCCGAAGAUCGGCCUGAUCGCCUCCGACUCGGCAUCCGAGCGGCAUCAAAGAUUCAAAAUGAGCUGAGAGACACCCAAGCUGGAAUGCUAAAGGAAGCAGAAAAAACAACAUUGCUGAUGCAACUACAAGCAUUUCCUCCAGUGAUCAAUUGGUGCAGAGUGCCUUCAGUAGCAGACAUGAUGCCUUUAAGCACUCAGCUGAAAGGCUUUGCAACUGCACCGAGACUGGGGGUGAAUUUCAGUGUCACUUCUGAAUAUAUUAAACAUUGAAUGUGCCUUCUUCAGGGUACAUGCCUGAUAUAAGAGGGGCUUUCAGGAACUUCCAGUGCACAUUAGUGGUCUACAUAAGUGCACAUCUUUCUAGUUUCACCAGAAUGAAGGUAUUAUGACCUAUGUCAUACAGCAGCGCACUGCUAGGGGUAUCACACCAAAACAGCAACACCCAUUGAGAAAGUUGGCUGAAGAACGAGCAGUGAUGGGGCUUUUCACAUUUCAAAGGCCAAAUUCCAAAGAUUGAUGCCGAGCUGGACGGUGUGCAGUGCCGGUCGCCACAUACUGUAGCCAGCAUGGCAUGAAUAUCCUUGGCAUUAUGUCUCUUUAAGAUACAGAAAUUGCAUCACUGCUCAUAAAACAAUUGGAAAUUGGGAUGUUGAGGGGAGGUGGCAGGGCUGCCCUCUGGAGCAGCCAGUGCAUGCCCUCUGCUAUACUGUCAAUCCUGCCCUAAUGAGAACCAGUGGUGCAUGUUAUAGUAUUACGCAGUCAAGUGCAUUCGUUGUUUUGUGUUAAGGUGACACUAAUGACACCCCAAAUCAAGUUACAAUAAAAAAGCGUCGUUUUCAGUAUCUAAUUAUGUUAACUUCUUGGUAGAUGGUUGAUUAUUAGAGAAAAUAAAGCUCUAAGUUCAAUUUUCUGAGUAUCGCCCCAAAAUCUUCGUACUGACAUCUCAUUUUCACAUCGUGGAUUUCAAGUAUUUUUACAAACUUGGGUUGUAUUGGUUAAGUAAAAGUUCCUGACGGUUUUUAUUUUGGGUGUUUGGCUUUUUGGAAUACGAUGAACAUCUUUAUUUGUAAAAAAAAAAUUGCAGCUCCUGAACAGACAUCAAAAUCAAUGACGUCACAGCAAGCUCGUGUGGC